rnacentral:misc_RNA from 1 species
UCCCCGAUUUCCGGGGCACUCAUCUCUGAGCGUUUCCUGUACAGUUCAAACCCAGGUAAGGUUCUGCGCGUUGCUUCGAAUUAAACCACAUGCUCCACCGCUUGUGCGGGCCCCCGUCAAUUCCUUUGAGUUUCAGUCUUGCGACCGUACUCCCCAGGCGGAGUGCUUAAUGUGUUGACUUCGGCACAGCAGGGGUCGAUACCCGCUACACCAAGCACUCAUCGUUUACGGCGUGGACUAC